AGAAUUUGUCUAGCAGGUUUUCCGGUUUUUACCAGAAAACCCCC
rnacentral:snRNA from 1 species